GGGGGAUAUUGCGCAAUGGGGGCAACCCUGACGCAGCAACGCCGCGUGAAGGAUGAAGGUUUUCGGAUUGUAAACUUCUUUUAUUAAGGACGAAACUUGACGGUACUUAAUGAAUAAGCUCCGGCUAACUACGUGCCAGCAGCCGCGGUAAUACGUAGGGAGCAAGCGUUGUCCGGAUUUACUGGGUGUAAAGGGUGCGUAGGCGGCUUUGCAAGUCAGAUGUGAAAUCUAUGGGCUCAACCCAUAAACUGCAUUUGAAACUGUAGAGCUUGAGUGAAGUAGAGGCAGGCGGAAUUCCCCGUGUAGCGGUGAAAUGCGUAGAGAUGGGGAGGAACACCAGUGGCGAAGGCGGCCUGCUGGGCUUUAACUGACGCUGAGGCACGAAAGCGUGGGUAGCAAACAGGAUUAGAUACCCUGGUAGUCCACGCUGUAAACGAUGAUUACUAGGUGUGGGGGGUCUGACCCCUUCCGUGCCGGAGUUAACACAAUAAGUAAUCCACCUGGGGAGUACGGCCGCAAGGUUGAAACUCAAAGGAAUUGACGGGGGCCCGCACAAGCAGUGGAGUAUGUGGUUUAAUUCGAAGCAACGCGAAGAACCUUACCAGGUCUUGACAUCCAACUAACGAAGUAGAGAUACAUUAGGUGCCCUUCGGGGAAAGUUGAGACAGGUGGUGCAUGGUUGUCGUCAGCUCGUGUCGUGAGAUGUUGAGUUAAGUCCCGCAACGAGCGCAACCCUUGCUAUUAGUUGCUACGCAAGAGCACUCUAAUAGGACUGCCGUUGACAAAACGGAGGAAGGUGGGGACGACGUCAAAUCAUCAUGCCCCUUAUGACCUGGGCUACACACGUACUACAAUGGAUGUUAACAGAGGGAAGCAAGACAGCGAUGUGGAGCAAACCCCUAAAAACAUUCUCAGUUCAGAUUGCAGGCUGCAACCCGCCUGCAUGAAGAUGGAAUUGCUAGUAAUCGCGGAUCAGCAUGCCGCGGUGAAUACGUUCCCG
rnacentral:rRNA from 2 species